GACGGACGCUGGCGGCGUGCUUAACACAUGCAAGUCGAACGGUGAAGCUCCAGCUUGCUGGAGUGGAUCAGUGGCGAACGGGUGAGUAACACGUGAGCAACCUGCCCUUGACUCUGGAAUAAGCGCUGGAAACGGCGUCUAAUACUGGAUACGAGAAGGGUCCGCAUGGGCACUUUCUGGAAAGUUUUUCGGUUGGGGAUGGGCUCGCGGCCUAUCAGCUUGUUGGUGAGGUAAUGGCUCACCAAGGCGACGACGGGUAGCCGGCCUGAGAGGGCGACCGGCCACACUGGGACUGAGACACGGCCCAGACUCCUACGGGAGGCAGCAGUGGGGAAUAUUGCACAAUGGGCGAAAGCCUGAUGCAGCGACGCCGCGUGAGGGAUGACGGCCUUCGGGUUGUAAACCUCUUUCAGCAGGGAAGAAGCGAAAGUGACGGUACCUGCAGAAGAAGCACCGGCUAACUACGUG
rnacentral:rRNA from 1 species